UUGGAGGGCAAGUCUGGUGCCAGCAGCCGCGGUAAUUCCAGCUCCAAUAGCGUAUAUUAAAGUUGUUGCAGUUAAAAAGCUCGUAGUUGAAUUUCGGGGUCAGUAGGUUGGUCAUGCCACUGGUAUGUACUGGUCUCACUGAUUCCUCCUUCCUGAUGAGCUGUAAUGCCAUUAAUUUGGUGUUGCGGGGAAUCUGGACUGUUACUUUGAAAAAAUUAGAGUGUUUAAAGCAGGCUAACGCCUGAAUACAUUAGCAUGGAAUAAUGAAAUAGGACGUUUGAUUCUAUUUUGUUGGUUUCUAGGAUCGACGUAAUGAUUAAUAGGGAUAGUUGGGGGCAUUAGUAUUCAAUUGUCAGAGGUGAAAUUCUUGGAUUUAUUGAAGACUAACUACUGCGAAAGCAUUUGCCAAGGAUGUUUUCAUUAAUCAAGAACGAAAGUUAGGGGAUCGAAGACGAUCGGAUACCGUCGUAGUCUUAACCAUAAACUAUGCCGACUAGGGAUCGGAUGAUGUUAAUUUUUUAAUGACUCAUUCGGCGCCUUACGGGAAAC
rnacentral:rRNA from 1 species